UAUGGUUGAGCCUUAUGGCUCCAAUACUGGGAGACGUGGUCGUAAGACUCCUCGAGAGUCAGACUCUCUCGAGGAGCGAGAGAGGAAACGGCUGCGGGAUAUCUUUGCAGAACCAUCUGACGAAGACUCCUUUGAGGGUUUUACCGAGAGAAUGGAGGAAGAGGUGGUUAGCUCAGAGGAGGAUGAUAUGGAAUGGACUCGUGUGAGGGAGGAUUUGGGUGUUCCUGGUAAUGAUAGCAUGGGAAGCGACUGGCGGGUUGCAGGAUCGGACCCGUGGACGAGCUGGAGGGAUGGAACGGGAUCCACAGCUGGGGAUGCUGUGGGGUGUAGUCAAAGAUGUUUUAGCUCUGAUGAGGAUGAUGAUGAUGAGGCACCUGGAAUUAGGGUAACACCUGAUAGCGAUGAGGAGUUGUAACUGGCAUAUAAUGGGGUCUUGAAUCCGGGGCUAAUUGCGUUGGGCAAGGUAAUCUGGACGAACGCUUGGGCUCUUGUUGGGAAUUUCCUGAAGACGGGUGUGUUUCGUUUGCUGAAUACCUUGGACCCUCCGUCGUCUUCUUGACGGACAUUAUUUACCUACUCGGAAUUGACGCUGGACUGGCUGACUGACUGAUUGACUGACUGACUGACUGACUACGAUCUUGGACGACCCUUUCUUUGGCUAUCGGAGGUUUUCGUGGAACCUAAGACGCCUGCACCUGGCUAUCGACCUCGGACCGGAUUGAGACCCCGCUGACCGCUGCAACCCUGAUUGAUGUGUUUGGACCCGGAGUUCGCCCGCUGCACGGAGGAGUAACAACUUAGUUGCUCAACCACAGCUGUUGAGUAGCAGAGAGGAAUCUGCUGCCAGUAUUUAUGUUCUAUUGAAUGUUUGUUUACCAGCUUUUGUUUGUUUAAAGUCCCAGGCUGAAGUAAGCAUUUUUGGUUUAACCCGGAUUAAACUCUUGUUUAAUCCGGUUUAUCUUUUGAACCGUUUUUGAGUGACUUUUCAUAUUGAAGGCGAGUGUUUGCCUAGCUCUUUGUUUUUUACGAGCAUUUUUGGUUCUGUAUCUUUAAUAAACUGUGUUGAAUCUUA